GCUGGGCUGUGGCCCCGCGCUCUAUGCCCUGGGCCAGGCUGCUGCUGGAGAGGGGACGGGCCCCAUGUGGCUGAUGGAGUGCAGGGGGACGGAGCUGUCUCUGCAGGACUGCUGGGCCCAGCCAGGGGACAGCAGUGCCUGCCAGCAUAAGGCAGAUGCGGCUGUGCAUUGCUCAGGUGAGCAGUGGGGCUGGGAGACAUUGCUGAGGGCUUAGCAAGGAGCUGGCUUGGGCGUAUGUCCUGCUGGAUCCUGGCAUGGCCCUGGUACAGGCCUGAGCAAGGUUGUCCCUGCAGAGUGGGAGGCUGGUGGUGGGUGGGGAGCAGCCUCUGUGGGGCUGGAUGUCCCAGCACAUCCCCUGGGCUGCCUGCACUGUCCUGUGAGCAGCCCAGAGCAGUGGUGCCCUUGCCACCCUGCCCAGCCCCACAGGAGGGAAAAUUCAGGUGGCACAUGUUGGGGUCAUUUUCCAGGGAGGCUGCCUGGUGCCACAGCCCCAGCCUCUCAGCCCAGCUCUCCUUCUGCUCCCCUGCAGCUGCACCCAGGACAGCAAUACUCCCCCCACAAGCAGGUAAGCUGUCCUUCCCCUGGGGCUGUGUCUGUCCAUGUUCACACUGUGACACACAGACAGAGGAAGGGGCUCCUUGCUGGGCUGUGAGACUCCCAGAAAACCAAAGCAGCUGGGAGAAGCCGGUGAUGGACCCAGCAGGGUGGGAGCUGCCCCAUCACCCAGCCCUGUCCCCCCCAGCCCCUGCUUCCUUGUGUGGUCAGCAGUGGCAUGUCCUGCCCCCAGCCUCUCCCUUGUCUGAUGCUGCCCCUGCCAUGUUCCUGCCCAUGCAGAUCCCCCACGGGGCCGUCCAACCACCAGCAGCGAGAGACUCUCGGUGCCUGUCGUCAUCUGCAUCAUCCUGGGGGCCCUCCUCUGCCUGCUCCUGGCCCUCCUGGCUGGGCAGGUGCGAAGUGCCAGGGCUCGGCGCAGAGGCUCCGGGAGAGCUGGGGAGCCCUUCCCUGAGGCCGUGUACGAAGAGAUCGCUUACAGCCUGGCGUGGGAGAAGCAGGCGAGGUUCAGUCUCUC
rnacentral:lncRNA from 1 species